CUCGUAGGUGGUUUGUCGCGUUGUUCGUGAAAACUCACAGCUUAACUGUGGGCGUGCGGGCGAUACGGGCAGACUAGAGUACUGCAGGGGAGACUGGAAUUCCUGGUGUAGCGGUGGAAUGCGCAGAUAUCAGGAGGAACACCGGUGGCGAAGGCGGGUCUCUGGGCAGUAACUGACGCUGAGGUGCGAAAGCGUGGGGAGCAAACA
rnacentral:rRNA from 1 species